AAAUGAUACUAAAGUACUCCUUUAGUGACUGGUCUAUACACUGCCGACUAGUGCCGAGUAAAUAAACAAAGAAAGCGGUCGUGUGAGAUUGAAAAAAAAAAAAAUGGGUGACAUCGACUGCGGCGGUUGUGAUUGCGGUGAUUGCGGCGACUGUGAUUGCGGUGAUUGCGGCGACUGUACCGACUGUGGCGACUGUGAUAUAUGUAACUGCGGCGAUUGUUGUAAAGACUGUGAAUGUGUGGGAUUCCACGGUUGCUGUGGUGACGGAUCAGGCUGCCAUUGUUGUGAAUGUAACGGUAAGAUGUUGACGAUGAGGAUGACCAUGAUAUAGCUGUAUUAUAAAUGACGACGUCUUAUCAGGACAGCCUCUUUAAUGUUCACAGAUAUAUAUUUUCAUUUUAAAAAAAUUAUAAUAAUUAUUGUUAAAUGAAAGCACACACACAAACUUUCGGGUUUUAAGCUGGUAGUGGAGACCAAACCUUGUCAUUUGACUCC
rnacentral:misc_RNA from 1 species